UGUCAAAUAAAGGCGAAAAAAGCCCAAAAAGUAAUUCAAGUAAUUGAAAUAAAGCAAAAUCAAGCAAAACAAUACAGUUAUAUUAGAUAUAUUAAAUAUUCUGGUAAAUAAGUAUUAAAUAACAAACACGAAAGAAAAACAUACAAGACAAAUCCAUAUUCCUACAUGUAUAUGUUCAUUUUUUAUUUAAAUUUACAUGUGACUUUAUUCAAAAACCAAAGUUGCAUAGAACUUGCAGUAUUUGAUAUUCAAAGUGUCACUUUUGAUUAAACAUUUGUAAAGGCAUUUAAACAUUUUCAUUUUCAUUGUAAAUGCAUGUCGGUGUCAAAUAUCACUUAUCAGUCUCGUUAACUGCUAAUAAUCGUUAUCGGCCCUGAAAAAAAGUCGACCCUACUCUUAUUCAUUCAAAUGCUGCUCCGCUCUGACCACAUAUUUACAAAAAGUGUUGUUUAAAAUUAAGCACCUGACAAAUUCUAUGUUUUUAUUCUUUCCAAAGCGUUGCUGCUUUUCUAGUAACCAUGAGGAUCAACGUUGUGGAUCAACAUGACGAGACUUUGCUGCAGGUUUCGUCUGAGUUGUAGAACCAGUUCAUCUGUCGAAGGAAACAAAGAUCACUUUGUAUGUCUGCAGUAAUAUUAACUGCUGUUACAGGAAAGAGGAAAUAAUUUGCUUCCAGAUUUUUAAGAAUCACAGUCAGCUUUGUGUUGAUUGUACAAACAUUUCGAUGAUAUUGCGCAACGGUUUGAUUAAAAAAAAAAAAACACUUGAAAUAAAAUUCAUUCUAAACAUG